ACCCUGGUGGUCUAGCGGUUAGGACUUGGCACUUUCACUGCUGUGGCCUGGGUUCAAUCCCUGGUCUGGGAA
rnacentral:tRNA from 1 species